rnacentral:misc_RNA from 1 species
UAAACUUAUUUGAAACUCUUAUGCUAUAUUAAUAUCUAUAAAUAGUAUAUCGCAUGUUGUAUGUCUGCAUUUGUGCAUUUCAAUUAAUAAAUUAAUUUUAGUUAUAAAUCCAAGUAUUUGUAUGCUUAGGUAUUUUAUUUAAGUUUAAGUUUAAUAAAGUAAGUUUAUCUACUAGAAUUGAAUAAAUAAAUAGAUAAUAAAUAUAUAAGUAAAUGAAGCUAAAAACCAAAAUCAUAAAAUUAAGUAAAUAAAUUUAGUCAUGAAUCUGAAUGUUUGUGUGUCUGAGUGUUUAAUUUAAGUUCAAGUUUAGUAGUAUGAGUCUGUUUGUGUCGAUUAAGUAAAUAAACAUAUAAAUAAGUGAAAUUAUCAAAUCAAAAGUUUACAAAAUUAAAUAAAAACUCAUAAACAAAAAACCCAUAAAAAUGAAAUAACAAAAAAACCAAAAAGACCUCGAAAGGGGCAAAUUUGGCUUCAUUACCCUGAGCAAUUUCUAAUUCACCUGUAAGAAUAAUGGGAUCAUUUGGAUCAUGUGUUUUUGUUUAUGAUCAUGAUGAACAAGAGUUUGCUUGAAAUUAAUUAUAGUUGGAAUCUUUUAGGUCAUUCGUGUAAGUUGCAAUGAAGGAUCAUUAUUGUUAGUUAGUUUACCCUUAUCACAUGAUUAAUACAAAAUUCUAACAUGCUAUGACCAGUUGAUCAUGAUAUUAGAAUUCAUGUAAAUUAUAUAUUCUGAUUGAUUCGAGCAGCUUUAGAUCUGUCAUCUAAUUCUAAGAUUCUUCAUCAGUAUUGAUCCUUUUAUCUAACUAUUUAUGUGUUCAACCAAAUCAAUCUAAAUCAUUUAAAAACUUCUAAUCUCAACAAAUUGUAAAGCUAAGUUUGAUCUUACGAUUGAUCAUUACAGUUAAAUAAAAUCAUAUUUACAGAAAAUUGGCCAUUGAUUUGCCUCCGAAGAGGUCUUUUUUUGUUUUUUAUUUUUUGAUUUUUUUGGGUUUUUUGGAAUUUUUUAUAUAUAUAUAUAUUGUUUAUUUAUUUGUUUUAUUUAUUUUAUUGUUUUUAUUUAUUUUAUUUAUUUAUUUUAUAUCUAUAUAAGCACACACAUAGGUAUAACUCUAUAAUAGCUACUCGUAUAAUUAAAAUAAGUAUAUAGUUAUAUAAGCACACACAAAAAACUUAAACAAACAUAAAUAGAUUUAUUAAAUUAUAUAGUUAAGCAUAAACACAAACACACAUGUGCACAUAUAUGCACAGUUGACACUUCAAAGUUA